GAGUCCAGACAUUUUUUGUUUGCCGCAGAAUCGCCUUAUAUACAAAACAGCGAAGGUUGUUUGUUAAAAUUAUGUUUAGUUAAACCAAUAAAAAAUAAAAAAGUAUGAAAAAAAAACACAAAACAAAAAAUUUGUGUCAGUCGUCUUGUUUUUUUUUUUAAUGUUUCUUGAAGAAAAGUCAUUGCUGUUUUGUAGUUUAGACUUUGUAGAACAACUUAAUAAAAACAGGUUCGGUACUAUCAGAUGAAGCAUAGCUGAGAAAAAUGUACCGAAACAUGUCAAAUUUUACAUAUCAAAUUCGGAAAGUGGAAAUUCAACAGCAUGUUUCAAUUAUGUUGUUACAUCGGCGGACUGUUCAUUAGAUUGGAAAACGCACCUAUGUACAAGCCACCAUUUCAUCAGUUUCUUAUAUUACUUUCACCGACAGUGUCCUCAGUUUAUGCCGAUUCGCGUGAUCGAAAGUGUCGACACGAGGUACGACAAUGAAGAAACUAAUCAUCGCAAUCGUUCUGAUUAGUCCCUGCCUGGGGGACGUAUCGCAUCUUUUGUCAAAAGACUCGACGACUACGACUCCGCCACCGCCGCCUAGACCUUACAAUUUUCAGUAUCAUGCAGAACGAUAUCCUGGAAGAAUUGAUCGAGUUCACCAAGAAAAUGGAGACGGUGCUGGACACAUUCAAGGUUCUUAUUCAUUUAUCGAUCCUAAACAUAAACUGCGAACGGUGCAAUACACAGCCGACGAAACUGGAUUUCAUGCUUCCUUAAUAAAUUACGAAGACACGAUUACUCAACCCGUUGAUUCCGAAGCAGUGAAGCUUGCUAAGGAGAAACAUCAUCGCCUUUACCAGAAGAUAGCUGAGGCACAUUCUCACGGUACUCCAGCGGAUCUCCCACGGGAUUCCACGAGCGUGGGGAGAGCGAAGGCCAGACAUAAUCAACUGUACCAGAAGAUUGCCCAGGAACACGCUGUGAUUGCCGCUCAAAGAGAAGCAGAACGUUUAGCCUACGAGGCCACUUCUGUUGUCAAUGAUGUAAAUCCGAAUCAUGCAUACUGACGAUAUUUCGUGGCAAAAAAAAAAAAAACACGAAAAACAAAACAUUUCCUUGAUACUUUAACUGCAACUAAGCUUUCUUCCAUACAAAAAAUAAUUUCUGGCAAAAAAAAUAUAACCGACUACAAAAACCAUUAAAACUACUGUGCUAUCUGGGUAGUAAUGAACAAUACGUAUAUUGUUGCAAAUACAAUCAUCAGGAAUACAUGUGCAACUAAAUGUGAAAGGAUUAAGCGCGAUCGUUUCUAAUGUUUCAACACUGUUCAUCACAUUCAACGAUGUAAGGAGGAGCACAUUCGCUAUGUUUGACACCGAAAGAAUACUUGGGAUUUGGUCUGGGGGAUUUAACGUUGUACUUUGGACCUGGACUGCGACAAAUUACUUUUUCACCGUGCCUAACCGCUAUGCUAUACUCUGGCGCCUUUAUUGUAACCAAGUCUACACUGUAAGGACGAGGACCUGGUGCGGCAUCACAUUUUAGAGCAGGUAGACGUUUUCCUCUAUAAAAUACACAUGAGGAUCAAUAAUCGAAAUCAUUUUUUAAUAGUUUAUGCUAAUAGCAUUGUAUUAUGGUAUAGUUUUAAAAACUAUGCAUUUCAUAGUAAUGAAUUCAAAAAAAGACCAUGGUAAAGCAGUUAGCACAUUUCUGUUAUCUCGCGUAACAGAAACGGUAGUACAUACAUAGAAAAAGCUGGACUGUCACUAAGAAGUUGCACAAAGUAAGGCCCAGGUGUACCACAACUGCCUCUGUGUUUUGUUCGGAAUUUUAGUGAAAACGCAGGACCUUUUGGAACUGGUAAAAUGUAUUUUGGACCAGGUCCACAGGUUGUGUCUAAGAUACAGAAAUCCUAAUGUAGAAAUCCUAGUACUGUGUAAAAAUUGUGACUAAAUAAAGAUGGAAACUAAUAGUAUCUGUUUUUAAAUCGAAACAGGAGAUUCCAUAAUUUUACAGUAUGUAAUCAAACUGUGGUUCCUGCCACGUUUAAUUAAAA